rnacentral:sRNA from 1 species
AAGAAAAAAAAAAAAAAGAUGUUCAAUGGAUUUGGGAAGGUGGAUGGUUUACAAAUCCACAGGCUAUAACAAACACUCCUGUCUAUUUUCUUUCCAUUAGUAUAUUUAUAGGUGUUUUUCAUUCACUUUAUGAGUAAGUUGCUAAGAAUCCUGAACUCUCAUAAGUGGCAAUCAUAGUGGUGACUUCUUAUAAACAGGCAAUGCAUUCAAGUCAGAGCUGGUCCUGGACCUUGUCUUCCCCGAAAGCCUCAAACUGUGACUAAUGACUGGACAAGGAGUCUUCCACGCAGCUACAUGCAGUGAGACCCUAUCUCACAUUUCCGGCUAGUCUGGAGCUCACUAUGAAGACUGGCCUUGAACUAGAGGUCCUCCUGACUUUGAUGACCAAGUGCUGGGAUUAAAGGAAUGCAUCGCCACCGCUGGCUGCUAAAGACACCAUCAAGAAGAGACAAAGUAUCUAUUUACCCCCCAAGCGGCAACCAGAACGGCAAUGCUGAGGAUGUAACGCCCCCAAGUGGCUGAGAGGAUUGUCCCUUACUGUUCUGAACGCCACACUUACCUUAUUAAAGGACAGAUUCUGCUUGGCCCAGAA